rnacentral:rRNA from 1 species
AGAGUUUGAUCCUGGCUCAGGACGAACGCUGGCGGUGCGCCUUAUGCAUGCAAGUCGAGCGAAGCUUUUCAGUAGUUUACUACAGAAAAUGACUGAGCGGCGAACGGGUGAGUAACGCGUGAGCAACCUACCUUAGUUACUGGGAUAGCCCGAGGAAACUCGGAUUAAUACCGGAUAUUCUUAUUUAAUCACAUGAUUUUUUAAGGAAAGGUCAGCCGAACUAAGAUGGGCUCGCGUUCUAUCAGCUAGUUGGUAGGGUAAUAGCCUACCAAGGCUACGACGGAUAGCUGGUCUGAGAGGACGAUCAGCCACACUGGGACUGAGACACGGCCCAGACUCCUACGGGAGGCUGCAGCAGGGAAUAUUGCGCAAUGAGCGAAAGCUUGACGCAGCGACACCGCGUGUGGGAUGACGGAUCUAGGUUUGUAAACCACUUUCAGGAGGGAAGAAAAUGACGGUACCUCCACAAGAAGCCCCGGCCAACUACGUGCCAGCAGCCGCGGUAAUACGUAGGGGGCGAGCGUUGUCCGGAUUUAUUGGGCGUAAAGAGCUCGUAGGCGGUUCAACAAGUCGGUCGUGAAAGUUCAGGGCUCAACCCUGAAAUGUCGAUCGAUACUGUUGUGACUAGGAUACGGUAGAGGUGAGUGGAAUUCCGAGUGUAGCGGUGAAAUGCGUAGAUAUUCGGAGGAACACCAAUUGCGAAGGCAGCUCACUGGGCCGCUAUCGACGCUGAGGAGCGAAAGCUAGGGGAGCAAACAGGAUUAGAUACCCUGGUAGUCCUAGCUGUAAACGAUGGAUACUAGACGUAGGAAUUGGAUUAACG